rnacentral:rRNA from 1 species
AUUGAACGCUGGCGGCAGGCUUAACACAUGCAAGUCGAACGAGUGGCGGACGGGUGAGUAAUGCUUGGGAAACUGGCUUAUGGAGGGGGAUAACUACUGGAAACUGUAGCUAAUACCGCGUACCAUAGGAUGAGCCCAGGUGGGAUUAGGUAGUUGGUGGGGUAAAGGCUCACCAAGCCGACGAUCUCUAGCUGGUCUGAGAGGAUGACCAGCCACACUGGGACUGAGACACGGCCCAGACUCCUACGGGAGGCAGCAGUGGGGAAUAUUGCGCAAUGGGGGCAAGCUGAUGCAGCCAUGCCGCGUGAAUGAAGAAGGCCUUCGGGUUGUAAAGUUCUUUCAGUAGCGAGGCGUUAACCACAGAAGAAGCACCGGCUAACUCCGUGCCAGCAGCCGCGGUAAUAC